rnacentral:rRNA from 1 species
GACGAGCUCUCCAAACGUUAUUCGGUAUCACUGGGCUUAAAGAGUUCGUAGGCGGCUCCGUAGGUGAGGUGUGAAAGCCCUCGGCUCAACCGAGGAAUUGCGCUUCAAACCGUGGGGCUAGAGGGAGACAGGGGUGAGCGGAACAGAUGGUGGAGCGGUGAAAUGCGUUGAUAUCAUCUGGAACACCGGUGGCGAAAGCGGCUCACUGGGUCUUUUCUGACGCUGAGGAACGAAAGCUAGGGGAGCGAACGGG